rnacentral:rRNA from 1 species
AUUGAACGCUGGCGGCAGGCCUAACACAUGCAAGUCGAGCGGGGUUUUCGGACCUAGCGGCGGACGGGUGAGCAAUGCGUAGGAAGCUGCCCGAUAGAGGGGGAUACCAGUUGGAAACGACUGUUAAUACCGCAUAAUGUCUACGGACCAAAGUGGGGGACCUUCGGGCCACAUGCUAUCGGAUGCGCCUACGCGGGAUUAGCUAGUUGGUGAGGUAAUGGCUCACCAAGGCGACAAUCUCUAGCUGGUUUGAGAGGAUGAUCAGCCACACUGGAACUGAGACACGGUCCAGACUCCUACGGGAGGCAGCAGUGGGGAAUAUUGGACAAUGGGCGCAAGCCUGAUCCAGCCAUGCCGCGUGUGUGAAGAAGGCCUUCGGGUUGUAAAGCACUUUCAGCGAGGAGGAAGGGUGGUGUGUUAAUAGCACAUCAUUUUGACGUUACUCGCAGAAGAAGCACCGGCUAACUCUGUGCCAGCAGCCGCCGUAAUAC